UAGCUUUCUAGUCUCCAACUCUUUUUCCUUUGAUUUUGUUUGGAGGCAUGUACUCUCAGCCUCUUUUGCUUUUGAUUUCUCUUCCAGUUUCUUAGAAAACUCUUUCCUUUUCUCUGCCCUUUCAUCACUUUUCAAGCCAAAAGAAGAUGGGGCUGCCUUAGCAGUUUUUUUAUCCAUAUUAGCUGCUUUGAAAGACCCUGCAUUCUCUUUUCG
rnacentral:misc_RNA from 1 species